CCGCUCUGCCGAUCUGUACCUUUCUGCUCAGAUUUCUAAACAGAAAUCUGAACAAGGGUUGGGGAAGGGUCUAUAUGAAGGACUUUUUUUCUUUUUAGUUUAUAUACCUCUAUGAUGGUUAAAACUUUUUUCUACAGCCUACCUUACUUUUGUAAUAGAAAGCCAACCAAGAAAAUGUGACGGAGAGGGUAAGAUCCUGAAGGAGGUGUACAAAACGUGCAAAAAGAUUUGUCAGUAUAAGGCACUAAUUGGCUUUUCUACAUUUUCCAAUUUUCUUCUAAUGAGAAUGGUUUAACUUUCAUAAUGGAAAGUAGCCAGUAAAAAAUAAUGGCCGUUAGUCAUACAGCAUUACAUUAAACCAAAUGAGUGUACCAGCCCAUAACUAGAAUGAGAGGGGUCACCACCAUUGGGUGACAGUGGUGAUUACUGGGGACGGGUUUUUCCUCUCCGUAAGAAGACUGGGGCCCCUGGGGGGCUCAGUCGGUCGGUUGAGCGUCUGACUCUUGAUUUCAGCUCAGCUCAUGGUCUCAUGGUUCGUGAGUGAGUUCAAGCUGAGUCGAGCUCUGUGCCGA